GAGCUAGCUACACUUAAUAUAUAAUUUCACAGUUGAGAGCAGAGUAUACAUUAAAGAUGAUGCAGAAGCAGACGUUGGCGAUAGCUCUGGCGUGGCUCCUGGUUGCGUCGUCAAUCAUGAUGUGCGAGUACGCAGCUGCAGACACUACUCCAUUGAAAACUGCUGACCAAGUUCUCCAUCCCCUAGCAGGUAAGAACCAACAUCCGAUCCUUUUGCUUUCGCAUCUGAUAUUCUGCAUGCAUAGUAUAUAUAUAUAUAUAUAUAUAUAUAUAUAUAUAUAUAUCUUGAAUGCAUGCAUGCAUGUGCAUUUACGUAAUAUAUAGUAAUUUAGAGUGUAUAUAUAUAUAUAUAGAGAGAGAGAGAGAACUAACUAUAUAUGCUUGCUAAUGGAUACAAUAUACACUACUUGAAGGUUGUCGCUGCUGCAACUUCAUUCGUGUGAAAGGGUUUAUCCAAUGCGGAACAGUUUGUUGUGUGGAUGGAUGUUGCGGUCGCAAGUGAAGCACCUGCAAUGCAGCUACACAGACAAUAAUAUGAAUCAUGGUGGUGGUGUUGCACAAUAAGAUGAAUAAUGGUGGUCAAAAGUUGCAACAUCGCUGAAGCAAUCAAAGCCCCCCUUAUAGAUUUCCCUGUUUGUUUGUUUUGCAUUCCUAUCGAGUUAUAUAAUGUUUGUCGAAAAGAUCCUGUUUAAUGAAAAAUUAAUGUCUGGAAAUCUGGGUGUUUCAGCAGGAUUUCUUUACGUUGAUGUAUCAUGUAUGUAUGUCUACAUGAGGAUAUAUCUAUCUAUAUAAAAGCGAUCGACUCGUUAAUCUAAAAGUAUCAUUCAUUUCAAGAGUUUGAUUCACAAUCUGUCAUGCCUACUAAUUUCAAGGAACAACUAGAUGAACUGCUGACACAAGAAAAACUGUUUAUGCUCCAUACCAACCCAAACAUACAAAACUGCACCUUUUUAUAGUCAUUUCAUGAUACUUACUUACCAUAUGAAUACAGAGUAUAAAACCCCCUUUUUUUGGAAUACAAAGUUUAAAAAUAGAUCAAUCAUUCUCAAUGGGAUCGAUUCUUAUUUGCAUUAAUUAAUACAUAAAUAUUUUUUGCAGUAAGAUUUUCUUCAGGGACAGAGCCAGAAUUUGUUCUUUGGAGGGACCAAAAAUUUUUUUAACAUCAUAAAAUAUAUUCAUUACUAAAAAGUAAAAUUUCACUAUUACAAAACAUAUUUUUACUAAAACAAAAAUAAUAUAUUAAUAGAAUUUGCUUUGACAAAGAUAAUGAAACAUAGAAAAAAAAAGUAUUUUAAAACAUAUCAAAACUUCGUCAAAACUUGGGGAGCUAUAGUCUUGCACAAUUUUCAAAACAAACUAAAUGUACAAGUGAAUUUUAUAAAUUUUCAAACUUUGGGGUGAAUCUUACUGUUAACACCAAGAUCUUCUGUCACGUCCCAAUCACGUAAGACAUUCUGAUCAUGCACAAUAAACACAGUCAACACCAAAAGCUUGACGGCUUGACCGUCGGGGGAUAGCUCCGGCGUGAGAGUCAGUACAGACGAUCACAAGGUUAACAAUGACGGAAUAAAUAUCUAGUGACUUAAGAGCAAUAAUUAAUUAGUUACCUUUCACCGUGUGUCAUCCUUGCUUUAUAUCCCCAAAGUCCGGUUUGUCAUGUAUGCAACUGACUUUUCGGGCCCACCGUUUUUAGCCAACUAAGCCCUGUCCAAUCCUCAUUAAAUGCAAUGCAGAGAUGAUAGUCAAAGUUCUAUCCCCAAUCUACACCGGUCAAAGCCCAAGUGGAACCAUACUCAUCUAGUAAUUCGGCCCACUGUCACAGCCCAAUAUUUCAUAAGCCCCAAAAUAAAGAUAAUAUCCACCCAAUGGGUUAGCCCAAUGAACCGGCCUAAUACUUUCAAGACCCACCUCAACAUGUUUAAAGUAUUAUGGCCCAACACUUACAAAAAUUUCAAACCUUAGGGGGGCCGUGGCCCCCUCCAACCUCCAUGUAGCUCCGUCCCUGAUUUUCUUUUUGGUUGCCUGUGACAUCACACCAUGGGAUCGACAUUCUUCUCAUCAUUAUACUUUUUGUUGACCGUGUAUAAUUGCACGUAUUUACUGAUUGCGAAAUUGGACAACAAGAUUUAUAAAAGGCAAGCAAAUUCAAUCCAAUAGUAACGAUCAAGAUUAAAAAAAGUUGAAUUGUUCUCAAACUCACAAGAGAUCUACUGUACGAUAUAGAACAACAUGUUCUGUUGCUAAGUCUUUCAUUACUAACUUCAAGCUACUUAGCAACACCCCAAAUCACACUAUCUCUUAGUGAUUGUUUAGGUCUUAGUGAUCCAUUGUAUCCAAGUCUUAGUGACUUGAAGAGUUCUUAGUGAUCUACUGUAUGUAAGUGUUUGUGACUUGAAGAAAUUUUAGUGAUUUAUUGAGUGCAACUAUUAUAUGUGAACAUCUGUGUGAUCAGUCAUCCUUAGUGAAAAAGUAGAAGAGUGAACUAUAAAACCUUUGUAUUCUGAAUCAUUUAAAAUUUGUGUGUCCCCUUUAUAUUCUGCACUUACUUUUCUGUCAACUUCUUUAAUUUGUUUGAGAUUUAAUUCCAAUUGAUUGCUAAAUUCAAAAUUACAAAUUCUUUCAAAUUUUUGAAGGGAUUUUUCAAAUUAUUAUUCCGCAAUGCAUAAUUAUAAAUUAAUCUGCUUAAUUUAUAAAUCGGUAAUAAUUUCUUUUAAAAAAAUUUAAAAUCUAUUUAACCCACCUCUAAAUCUCUUGGUGCAUUUGGAAUAUAACAAAAACUUUGACACUUCCUGUGGGUUCUAUCCAGUGGAAAGAUAAUCACAAAAAUUUCUCUAGUCAAAGGGCAGAUAUGUAAAACGAAAGGGCCUACCUUACCCACUUUUAAGUCGCAAGUAAAUUGCCUUAAAUAUUUAAUAACUUGCAAAAGUGACUCCAAUAGAAAGAUUUCUAUCUAUCAAUCUGGCAAACGUGGAAUUCACUACUGAGGAGUAAUGGGAAAUGGACUCGAGUCAUGGGAAACGUGGAAUUCCAAAUGGAUGAUUUCAUUUAUUUUAAAUUAUUUAUCGUUUUAUAUAAUUUACAAGAAUUAAUUACAAUUUUUUUUAAAAUUACUUCUCAUAAAAAAUUGUUAUAGAUGUGAAAUAAAUAUGAUAAUAAAUGAGAAUUUAAACGUAUUAUAAAUAUUUGAUAUUAUAUUUAAUCAUUUAUUUAAUUCUUGUACACAACUUUAAAACAUCAGAAAGGGGACCAUGCUCGUGAGUUUUUUCACUUCAAUUACCAAGAGAAACCAAUUAGGAAAUGACCGACAAGCAGGCCUAUGGAAUAUCUUUAAAAUAUGAGUAAUGCUACAAACACAAACUAUUUUACAAAUAUUUUACAAACUGCUGAUGUGGCAUACUCCACAUCACCAUAUUGAUUAACGACUUGUUUAAAUAUAGUCUUCGGCCCCACACAAUAUGCUGAGAUGGAAUACUUUGUGUCUUUAGCAUUAUUCUUAAAAUAUUAUUCGACUAUAAAUAAAAUAAAAUAAAAUAAAAACACAACAACUUGAACGUACGUCAAGACAAGACAAUAGUCAAGGACUUAUUGAUUCUUGUUUUGUGGAAGAAUAUAAGUACACUUGGGUGAACAACACCCAAGCUAUUGAUAUUGAAUGUGAAUGUAAAUCAAGUUGCGGCCUAACAUGGACAAAUGAGUAAUGGCUGAUUGACCAGCUGGAAAUUAAGAAUCGCUCUCCUCAAUCUCCUAUUUGCUUUAUAAAUAGAAUGCAAGAGAAGAGGGGAAAAUUAUAUACCCGAGCUAGCUAGCUACACUUGAUAAUUUCACAGUUGAGAGUAGAGUAUACAUUAAAGAUGAUGCAGAAGCAGACGUUGGCGAUAGCUCUGGUGUGGCUCCUGGUUGCGUCGUCAAUCAUGAUGUGCGUGUUCGCAGCUGCAGACACUACUCCAUUGAAAACUGCUGACCAAGUUCUCCAUCCCCUAGCAGGUAAGAACCAACAUCCGAUCCUUUUGCUUUCGCAUCUGUUCUACAAAUUAAUAUUAAUCUGCAUGCAUACUAACUAUAUAUGCUUGCUAAUGGAUACAUAUAUAUACACUACUUGAAGGUUGUCGCUGCUGCAACUACAUUAAAGUGAGAGAGUUUUUCAAUUGCAACAAAGUUUGUUGUGUGGAUGGAUGUUGCGGUCGCAAGUGAAGCACCUGCAAUGAAGCUACACAGACAAUUAUAUAUAAUAUGAAUCAUGGUUGUGUAGUUGCACAAUAAGAUGAAUAAUGGUGGUCAAAAGUUGCAACAUCUCUGAAGCAAUUAAUCAACCNNNNNNN
rnacentral:lncRNA from 1 species